rnacentral:rRNA from 1 species
AAUAGAUACCCUGGUAGUCCACGCCGUAAACGAUGAGUGCUAAGUGUUAGAGGGUUUCCGCCCUUUAGUGCUGCAGCUAACGCAUUAAGCACUCCGCCUGGGGAGUACGGUCGCAAGACUGAAACUCAAAGGAAUUGACGGGGGCCCGCACAAGCGGUGGAGCAUGUGGUUUAAUUCGAAGCAACGCGAAGAACCUUACCAGGUCUUGACAUCCUCUGACAACUCUAGAGAUAGAGCGUUCCCCUUCGGGGGACAGAGUGACAGGUGGUGCAUGGUUGUCGUCAGCUCGUGUCGUGAGAUGUUGGGUUAAGUCCCGCAACGAGCGCAACCCUUGAUCUUAGUUGCCAGCAUUCAGUUGGGCACUCUAAGGUGACUGCCGGUGACAAACCGGAGGAAGGUGGGGAUGACGUCAAAUCAUCAUGCCCCUUAUGACCUGGGCUACACGCGUGCUACAAUGGAUGGUACAAAGGGCUGCAAGACCGCGAGGUCAAGCCAAUCCCAUAAAACCAUUCUCAGUUCGGAUUGGU